rnacentral:rRNA from 1 species
UACGAAGGGGGCUAGCGUUGUCCGGAAUUAUUGGGCGUAAAGAGCUCGUAGGCGGUUUGUCGCGUCUGCUGUGAAAACCCGAGGCUCAACCUCGGGCCUGCAGUGGGUACGGGCAGACUAGAGUGCGGUAGGGGAGAUUGGAAUUCCUGGUGUAGCGGUGGAAUGCGCAGAUAUCAGGAGGAGCACCAAUGGCGAAGGCAGAUCUCUGGGCCGUAACUGACGCUGAGGAGCGAAAGCAUGGGGAGCGAACAGG